UACGAAGGGUGCAAGCGUUACUCGGAAUUACUGGGCGUAAAGCAUGCGUAGGUGGUUCGUUAAGUCUGAUGUGAAAGCCCUGGGCUCAACCUGGGAAUGGCAUUGGAAACUGGCGACCUAGAGUGCGGUAGAGGGCAGUGGAAUUCCCGGUGUAGCAGUGAAAUGCGUAGAGAUCGGGAGGAACAUCUGUGGCGAAGGCGACUGCCUGGACCAGCACUGACACUGAGGCACGAAAGCGUGGGGAGCAAACAGG
rnacentral:rRNA from 1 species